rnacentral:rRNA from 1 species
CUACGGGAGGCAGCAGUGAGGAAUAUUGGUCAAUGGGCGCAAGCCUGAACCAGCCAUGCCGCGUGCAGGAUGACGGUCCUAUGGAUUGUAAACUGCUUUUGUACAGGAAGAAACACUGGUUCGUGAACCAGCUUGACGGUACUGUAAGAAUAAGGAUCGGCUAACUCCGUGCCAGCAGCCGCGGUAAUACGGAGGAUCCAAGCGUUAUCCGGAAUCAUUGGGUUUAAAGGGUCCGUAGGCGGUCAGAUAAGUCAGUGGUGAAAGCCCAUCGCUCAACGGUGGAACGGCCAUUGAUACUGUCUGACUUGAAUUAUUAGGAAGUAACUAGAAUAUGUAGUGUAGCGGUGAAAUGCUUAGAGAUUACAUGGAAUACCAAUUGCGAAGGCAGGUUACUACUAAUGGAUUGACGCUGAUGGACGAAAGCGUGGGUAGCGAACAGGAUUAGAUACCCUGGUAGUCCACGCCGUAAACGAUGGAUACUAGCUGUUGGGAGCAAUCUCAGUGGCUAAGCGAAAGUGAUAA